rnacentral:rRNA from 1 species
AGAGAGAGACAUGCGCGCAUAUCAAUAAGCGGAGGAAAAGAAACUGACUAGGAUUCCCUCAGUAACGGCGAGUGAAGCGGGAAGAGCUCAAAUUUGAGAUCUUCAAGGUUCUACCUUGACGAAUUGUAGUUUAAAGAAGUGUUUUCUGUUGGAGUUUUGGUAAAAGUUCUUUGGAAUAGGACAUCAUAGAGGGUGAGAAUCCCGUAUUUGACCAUUAUUUCCAACUUUGUGAUACACUUUCAACGAGUCGGAUUGUUUGGGAAUGCAGUCCAAAAUGGGUGGUAAAUUUCAUCUAAAGCUAAAUAUUGGCGAGAGACCGAUAGCGAACAAGUACCGUGAGGGAAAGACGAAAAGAACUUUGAAAAGAGAGUUAAACAGUACGUGAAAUUGUCAAAAGGGAAGCGUUUGACACCAGUGUUGUUUUUCCGAAAAUCAAUUACGAAUGUUUUGUUUUUGAGGAGUUAUGACUUCAUCGGCUUGCUCCUUUCUUUACGAAACUUUCUUAAUGCACUUUUCGGUUAACAAGUCAACAUCAAUUUCCUUUGUUGUAAAAGGGUAUGAGGAAGGUGGCUUUCUUUUCGGAGAAAGUGUUUAUAGCCUUGUGCCUCUGCAAUCGGAGAGAUUGAGGUCUGCAGCGUAGAUCCUUCGGGGUUAGAUACGUUUGUGCUAAGUUAUAGCUUUUCAUAGACAACUUGUUGACUAUGUUUAGUCUUGUAGCUUACUCGCUGACGCUAUUUUACCUACGCUUAGGAUGUUGAUAGUCACAGCGUGUAC